UGUGUGUGUGUGUGUGUGUGUGUGUGUGUGUGUGUGUGUGUGUGUGUGUGUGUGUGUGUGUGUGUGUGUGUGUAACUGGAGUUUGACUCCUGAUCUAGAAUAGAGAAAGGGAAAAGAAAGCACCCAAAAAACUUCAGUGAAAGCAAGAAGACACUUCUCAAGGAAAUUAUCUCAAAGUACCCCAUAUUCGAAGACAAAUAUCAUGAUUCAACCACAGAAACCAAAAAAGGGAAUGCAUGGACUGCAAUUUUGAAUGCAUGUAACUCAUGAAAAAGUAACCAACAGGACCCUCCAACAACUUCAGGUCCUGUGGAAAAACAUUAAAUGGGGAACCCCCAGUUCGACCAGAGACAGAUGACCGAGGAGACUUGUUAACUGGGAUGAUUGAAAGCCAGCAACCCUUGGAAGGUAUCCCAGAUGAUCAUGAUGUGGACAGUUAAGAAUACCUGAGCUUGAACCAAAUGUUAGAUGAGCCAGAACAGAGUCCAGAAAAUCAGCCUUCUGCACCUGUAGCAGUAGAAGCAUCCACUAUCUCCAACCCAGGCAGCAGGCCAAAAGGGAAAAGGCUGACCAUUCAGGAGGUUUUUGAAGACAUUUCACCUCUCAUCCAAGAAGUUUCUUCAGUUCUGACUGACUAAUGUUGAAUAGAAACAUCUUCAAGAACCCGAAAAAGAAGUCCAGGGGAGGAGCUGUGUCCUGAUUCAGGGGCUGCAUCUUUCUGAAGCUGAGAUUUAAGGACGAUUGUGUCACAGAGGCCUGAUGGACGCUCCUUCAAAUGUGUCUGGGAGAAGAGCAC